GACGAACGCUGGCGGCGUGCCUAAUACAUGCAAGUUGAGCGCUGAAGGUUGGUACUUGUACCAACUGGAUGAGCAGCGAACGGGUGAGUAACGCGUGGGGAAUCUGCCUUUGAGCGGGGGACAACAUUUGGAAACGAAUGCUAAUACCGCAUAAAAACUUUAAACACAAGUUUUAAGUUUGAAAGAUGCAAUUGCAUCACUCAAAGAUGAUCCCGCGUUGUAUUAGCUAGUUGGUGAGGUAAAGGCUCACCAAGGCGAUGAUACAUAGCCGACCUGAGAGGGUGAUCGGCCACAAUGGGACUGAGACACGGCCCAAACUCCUACGGGAGGCAGCAGUAGGGAAUCUUCGGCAAUGGACGAAAGUCUGACCGAGCAACGCCGCGUGAGGGAAGAAGGGUUUCGGAUCGUAAAACUCUGUUGGUAGAGAAGAACGUUGGUGAGAGUGGAAAGCUCAUCAAGUGACGGUAACUACCCAGAAAGGGACGGCUAACUACGUG
rnacentral:rRNA from 1 species